rnacentral:lncRNA from 1 species
GUGAAAAUAGAUUUUCAUUGAAUUUAGAUGGAAAGAAACACUCUCCUCCAUUCUCAAUUCCAUGUCCGUAGCUCUCCUAGCUCGUGACAUUCACCAAACUAUUAAGAGUAAGCUGGGGAGUCAUUGAUAGACCUAAUAACAUCAUCUCCUAUUCUACAAUACAACCUGAUCAGGUCACGUACUUAUCUCUCUGGUUGAAUUCUUGUAUUUUGCUUAUCCCUUGCUCCCAUUCUUUUUUAAUUUUAAGCAUUUUUAUUCUCUAAGCGGCUUAAUUUGUUCUCCAAAUGGUAUCAAUGUAAGAGAAAAAUAGCGACAAGGAAUUUAUUUAUGAAAAAAAAAUAGAGACAAGGAAUAAUGCAUUUUUACUGAAAAAUCGACACAGGACAAUUAGAUAUCCGGCUUGCAAUAUUUCAGUUUGUGGUUUAUGACACUAUCAAACUUAUUAAACAAAUUAAAGUUUCAAAUAUUAAGCGUAUUACCGUUGAUUCAAAAAACAUUAAUUAAUUCAGUUCUGUUUCUUUUCCACCCCUAACUCUGCAUACUCUUGAGAUCUUACAUAUAUUACAUCCCCAUGCAGAACUAUUAAACUAAUGUAUUCUCUCUUUAGUCUUUGUUUUCAGUAUCAUAACCAACUUAAUAUUCAUCAUAAUUAUAAGUAUAUGUCUUUAUCGGGAAAGGAUAAAGGAUAAGUUUAUGCCUCUUAAUCGAAGAUUUCUUAAAAAUACUAGUUUUAGGAUCAUAGACGUGUAGUAUAAAAAGACUCGAGAGUUGAGGUGUAGCAUUAACGAAUCGACGGCCAUGCGUUUUCAAAUUAGUUGCCUAGUCCACUUUGAUAUUGAAAAGCAUGAAUGAUGUUGAAAAUAUCUUUGAGGAGUUUACAGGAUACGGUUCGAAGUGCUAGUCACGAUCUUGUAGCCGAUUUGAGGAGAGUUGGUCCCUCAGCUAGAUAGUGGAGUGAUGGUCCAUCCGAUAAUGCAUCUCACCCUUUGUCACUGAAGUAUGUAAUUAACCUAUAGAAACCAGUCAAAACAAUAUGAUUAAAACUCAAAUUAAUAAAGAACAAGAAGGAAAAAAUAAAAGAGUUCAAGAUAAUUCAGUGCCAGAGGGUGAGAUUGGUUUCUAAAGGUUCUUUAUCUCUUUCAUCACUCUUUUUUUUUUUUAAUAUUAAUUUAAAAGUUAAACUAGAUACAAUUAAAAGGCCGGCUAUUCUUUCGGGCACUUAGUGAUGUUAACUAUUAUUGAACAAUCGGUCUUUAGGGCAUCUCCAAAAGUAACCUCAAAUCUUCGAAUAUGAAUUUUUGUUCACUCUAAAAGCAACUCUAAAACUUCAAAUUUUGAGGUUUUGAAUAGUG